rnacentral:rRNA from 1 species
UGAACGCUAGCUACAGGCUUAACACAUGCAAGUCGAGGGGCGAUCAGGACGAUAGCUUGCUAUGUUGCUGGCGACCGGCGCACGGGUGAGUAACGCGUAUCCAACCUUCCCCAUAGUAGAGGAUAGCCCGGCGAAAGUCGGAUUAAUACUCUAUGUUCUUCAAUGCGGACAUCUAACUUGAAGCAAAGAUUCAUCGCUAUGGGAUGGGGAUGCGUCUGAUUAGCUUGUCGGCGGGGUAACGGCCCACCGAGGCUACGAUCAGUAGGGGUUCUGAGAGGAAGGUCCCCCACAUUGGUACUGAGACACGGACCAAACUCCUACGGGAGGCAGCAGUGAGGAAUAUUGGUCAAUGGGCGCGAGCCUGAACCAGCCAAGUAGCGUGCCAGGACGACUGCCCUAUGGGUUGUAAACUGCUUUUAUGCGGGAAUAAAGUCAGGUACGUGUACCUGUUUGUAUGUACCGCAUGAAUAAGGACCGGCUAAUUCCGUGCCAGCCGCCGC